rnacentral:tRNA from 1 species
UGUUCUCGUAGCUCAGCAGGAUAGAGCGGUUGCCUCCUAAGCAACAGGUCGCGCGUUCGAAUCGCGCCGAGGACAA